rnacentral:snoRNA from 1 species
CCUGUCCCUCAAGGAAUUUCAGGUGUGACUCUUGUAACACAUGUAUGUCAGUAGGUGGCAGAGAAGAGUGAACUUAUGUGUAUGCUCCGUGGUCUGGCCUGUGACCAUCCCCCUAAAAAAUGCAAA